rnacentral:rRNA from 1 species
UACGUAGGCAGCGAGCGUUGUUCGGAAUUACUGGGCGUAAAGAGUGUGUAGGCGGUGGCUCCAAGUCUGUCGUGAAAUCUCCCGGCUCAACUGGGAGGGUGCGGUGGAGACUGCCGGACUGGAGGCACUCAGAGGCCGGUGGAAUUCCCGGUGUAGUGGUGAAAUGCGUAGAGAUCGGGAGGAACACCAGUGGCGAAGGCGGCCGGCUGGGGGUGACCUGACGCUGAGGCGC